rnacentral:lncRNA from 1 species
AGAGCUCGAGGUUAGCUCUUCACUGCCCUGUGUCUUCUUUCCAAGGGUCUCGGUGAUUCGGCCACAGCCUCAGCCUCCAUCACGCGGUGAACUGAUGGUGCUGGAAGAUUCAUAGACUCCAGGACAUUCCUGAAGCCGAGAAAAGGUUAAGUAGGGUCUGGCCUGGAAUACUCUCCUAGAUGAAGAUAGCCCAACCAUGAGCCACCUUCGAAGCAGAUGAGAUGAAAUUAAAGCUCUUCAACUCCUAAAGGCCCAGAGACUAUCACAAAAGAGGUCAGAAAUCCUGAAGGUCACUUUCUGACAAACUCAGGAACCCCAGGUUUAUCUUGGAGCCUCAAGAGGAGAUAAAUUCACCCAACUCAGAGUGAGGCUGGCUGGGGGAGCCUGGGCUCCUCUGUCCUCCCCGAGGUGGCAGUGGCUGAUGUCUGCUCAGGUGUGAGGGGGUGCUGCCAUCCUCUGGGCCUGAGGCUGCCUGGCCCAGCCCCUCCUAACUCCCUGGACUCUUCCACGGUGUCUUCAGGCCCCUACACCAUCCUUUGUGUAAGGGGAGGUGGCAGCAUAGAGAUGAUGGGGGAACUGCCCCAUGUGCCAAGGAAAGCUCACCCAUCUGUGCGAAAUGCUCUGGUUGACAUUGGGUUUUUGCGCACCAAACUGGGCCAUGACCAAGGUUUAUAACCAAGGUGUCUCCGGGCAUGGGCACUUUGGCUCUUGUAGAAACCACCCCACUGGCAGGAGACGGCGGUAGCUGUGGUCAUUGAAAACAAGCUCCUGCUGAUAAAUCUCAGACACCAGACACAGAAGAACCUGGAGACCCUGCCAGAGAGCUUGAGGCAAAUGGAUGGACUGUUGGAGCAGCUGAGGGUGAAGCAGCACAAACUCCUCAAAGUUGAAUAGCAAAGCAGCCACCAGAGAUGGACAAGAAAAAUGAACAAAGAAAAUUAGCAGAAAUCAAAGGCAGAUGCUAAAGCAGUGCAAAAUCAUUCAUUCAAUGAUAGAAAUGAAAUUGAUGAAGGAGUCUGGAAAAUGAAUGACAGAAGAGAAUUAAACAGCAGUGACCAUAGUAAGGUCCUGACGAUUCUGGUCCACUGAAUCCCAUCAUCCCUAAGACAGUAAAUAUCAUCACAGUCACCACCAGCAAGUUACCACCACAGCAUUUCCUGUUUGUUCCAAAAUGAAUAAAGAUGAUUCUCAUCACAAGGGCAAAUACAAAGUAGUUUAGUAUGUUUUUAACUAAACUAAAGGUGUUUGGUUUACUUUUUCUAAGUUCUCAUAAUUCUGAAAAUGCAGUUGACACUUGUGUGGCUCAUGAUGUUUUUAAUAGUCUAAUGCUACUUGAAUUGUUCAAAAACCACUGUAUUUUAAAUUAAGAUGAAUAAACGGUCCUUUGAAAACUGGCACAAGGCAAGGAUGCCCUCUGUCA